UGGUAUACCAUCCACGAGGGGUUACAGGAGUCAAACGGCGCCGCAUCAUUGGGCGGUUACCCCGCACCAAUGCAGACGCCUCCCUUCUCCUCCCCCUCGUAUGCGUGUCUCUGGGCGGGUAACAUUGGGGGGGUGGUCCCUAUAAGAGGGUGUAACCUAUGGCAGGUACAGGCAUUUGGCUCUUCACAUGUCAUCACUCCAUGCAGCACACUCGGAACUCACAGCCAUCAUUCCUUACCGACCACAGUGCAUUCAAUACACCAUGCCUCAUGCCUGUGCCACCUGGGUGCGCUCUCCUGACGGGCCCUGCACCCCUCAUUCUCCAGCCCUAGUCCCCGGCAGUGACCACCCCAAUCCUGGGGUCCAUCCGGAGCUUCACUCUAGUGCCAGCGGCAAUCGGCAACCUGAUAACCAAUGUAAUGCAUGCCUGCUCCUGAUGAGCGACCAAUAGUCACGAAACGCGUAGAGCUCUAUACCUCAUGCAUUAAUGUAUUAUCACUGCAGUGUCAUGCGAUGUAAUUUCCAUUUUAAUAUGUGAUAUCUAUUUUAUGUCUCAAUAAUAUAGUACAGCUCGCUGUACUCAUUGCAUUUAUAUAUUUGGGUCACUGCCCACGUACCUUGUCCCCCAACUAAUCUGUGAAACAUAUAUGUUUAUCUAUUUCUUCAAUAGUGCAAUAUAGUCAUGGACGGUGCAUUAUGUGAAAGUAAUAAAAUAUUUAAACCUAUUCCAGAUUUAUUAUCUUUGAUUCAUUCCCCCCAUUUAUUGUAAACUGUUUCCCGCACAUGCUUCAUUUAAAGUCCCGCACUUGUUUCUCUUUUCUAUACCUAAU